rnacentral:rRNA from 1 species
CUUUCUCCGCCGGCGACCGGCGCACGGGUGAGUAACACGUAUGCAACCUGCCCCUGUCAGGGGGACAACCCGCCGAAAGGCGGGCUAAACCCGCGUACAUGCCACCGGGGCAUCCCGGAGGCAGGAAAGGCUUCGGCCGGACAGGGAUGGGCAUGCGGCGCAUUAGGCAGUAGGCGGGGUAACGGCCACCUAACCGACGAUGCGUAGGGGUUCUGAGAGGAAGGUCCCCCACACUGGUACUGAGACACGGACCAGACUCCUACGGAAGGCAGCAG